CCUACGGGUGGCUGCAGUGAGGAAUAUUGGUCAAUGGCCGCAGGGCUGAACCAGCCAAGUCGCGGGAGGGAUGACGGUCCUAUGGAUUGUAAACCUCUUUUGUCAGGGAGCAAAGGGCUCCACGUGUGGCUCUUUGCGUGUACCUGAAGAAAAAGCAUCGGCUAACUCCGUGCCAGCAGCCGCGGUCAUACGGAGGAUCCGCGCGUUAUCCGGAUUUAUUGGGUUUAAGGGGAGCGUAGGUGGGUUGUUAAGUCAGCUGUGAAAGUUUGCGGCUCAACCGUAAAAGUGCAAUUGAUACUGGCAGUCUUGAGUGCAGUUGAGGUAGGCGGAAUGCGUGGUGUAGCGGUGAAAUGCUUAGAUAUCACGAAGAACUCCGAUUGCGAAGGCAGCUUACUAAGCUGCCACUGACAUUGAUGCUCGAAAGUGUGGGUAUCAAACAGGAUUAGAUACCCGGGUAGUC
rnacentral:rRNA from 1 species